ensembl:lincRNA
AGGCUGCUUGUUGUUCGGGUUUCACAAGUUUGCCCUCUGGUUUUACUGUUAAAGAGAGGCCAUUGUAACUGAGAACUAGCUUCGAAUACAGCUGCUGCUACAUCUUUCCAGGCUUAUGAGAUAAUCCUGUUUUUGGUAGCCAGGUAUUUAACAUCUGUCUUUCAACGGGAUGUAACUCUCAUCUACUUCUCCAGAACCAAGUCUACAUGAAGCCAUGUGCCUGCUGCCACGCUUCACACCUGGAUGAUAAUGGACUCACCUCUGGAAACAAGCCCCCAAAUUAUAUGCUUUCUUUUAUAAGAAUUGCUUUGGCUAUGGUGUUCUUCACAGCAAUAAAAUAGCGAUGAAGACAGUAGUUGAUACCAGGAAACCGAGUAUUGCUGUGACAGGCAUGACCAUGCUGUAUAUUGGCAGAAUGUGAACUUUGGACUAGAAAAGUGACUGAGUGGUUUAAGUCGGGAUUUUAUGGGCUAUACUAGUAGCAAGGACACUUGUAUUGGAAAAAUGUAGACAAGUGGGAGACCAGCACAGGAAGUUGCAGAGGGAGAAAUCAUACAAAGUGAAUACAAAGCAACCUAGUGACCAUUCUUGAUGUAUUUCAGCAAAGAGGUGGCUGCUUUUGCCCAUGUCCUGAAAAUCUGCCCGAGUUUUUGAUUAAUGAUGGCAGAGGAGAUGUCAAGACAGCUUAGAAUUGAUCAUAUCAUAUGGUUAUUAGUAAUCACUCUUAUUUAGGUCAGUAAUGGAAAAGAUAAAGCUAGACAAAAAGAAAUACCAAAUGUACAGAUUGAGGGGAAAAGAAAGCACUAGAGAGUGUAAUGGAGCUAAGUCCAGUGCUUCUAGAAGAUUAAAAUUUAAAGAAAAAUUUGACACUAAGUGGAAUCAAAAGAGCAGUAACCUCAGGUAAGAUCCCACUCAGUUAAGGUUCCAACUUGUAAAAGGGAAUUAAAGAAGUUUAAGCAGUGAAGGAAACUAUCAAGAAGGGAAAGCUGAUGCAAAUGUAAAUGAAUCAGAGGGCCAAGUUCAGGCCAGCAAGCAGCUGAAUUUGGCAGCUUUAGCCAAGUGGUUCUGGCCUUAGAGUCAAGGAAAUCAAGAGAGCAAGUCCUUACAAUAUACAAAGGAAUGGCUCUUCCCCCACUGGCUAAGAAAAGGUGCUGAGUCCAGGCAAGUGCUGUGGGUGUUGAGGACCCCCUGCAGGUGUCCAUGCAGUGAUCCAUGAAGAAAUGAGAAUGAAACCUUGGUUCAGAUAGACUUCGUCAACCUAGAUCAAACUUCGGGGAGUUUAAUGCUAGGCCAUCCAUUGUCAGCAUAUUAAAACAUAGUACAAUUUGGGAAAAUUACUAAAUAUUUUCCCUUUAAGUAAAUUAUUUUAUUCUUUUUUGGAAGAUUUACUUAGUUUUAUUUUAUUUGGAAAGAUGAAUAAAUAGUAGAAAAUGUAUCUAAUCCAUUUUGUAAGGAAUAUUGAAAUUAUUCAAAAUAAAAUAUCUGGUUGUGUGAUUUGU